rnacentral:rRNA from 1 species
AACGAACGCUGGCGGCAUGCCUAACACAUGCAAGUCGAACGAGCCCUUCGGGACUAGUCGCGCACGGGUGCGUCACCCGUGGGAACAUGCCCUCAGGGACGGCCUACCUAUCCGACAGGGGUGCUAAUACCGGACAAUGUCUACGGCCCAAUGAUUUAUCGCCGUUGGUUGGGCCCGCGUUGGAUUAGCUUGUUGGUAGGGUAAUAGCUUACCAAGGCGACGAUUCAUAGCUUGUCAGAGAGGAUGGUCAGCCACACUGGGAGUAGGACACGGCCCGGAAUCUUACGGGAGGCAGCAGUGGGUAAUAUUGGACAAUGGGCGAAGGCAUGAUCCAGCAAUGCCGCGUGAGUGAUGAAGGCCGUAGGGAUGAAAAGCGCUUUUACCCGGGAUGAUAAUGACAGUACCGGGAGAAUAAGCUCCGGCUAACUACGUG